rnacentral:lncRNA from 1 species
CUGGACUCAUCCUCUUCAAGAUGAGACAGGUGGAGCAGAGCUGCCACCAACCUCCGGUGAUUUCCACACAAUGUGUCCUAGAAGAAGAGACCCUACACUGGGCUUGUGACCAGCGGAAACUGAAUCAAUGCUGGAGACACAUUCUAACAGUCGAAUGGGCAGCUCACAGGAGACCAAAUACUAAAACAUUGCUUUAUCUAGUCUUCUGUGAUUCUCUCUCUCUUAGGAGGAUCUCACAGUGAUGAAGAGUGGCAAAAGAUGAAAAAACACAAGCUGAGAGAGGUUAAGUGAUUUGUUCAAAGUAGCAAGGUUGGAAAGCCAAAGAUCAAGUUGCCAGCAGAUUUGAUGUCUGAUGAGAGUUGCUGUCUGUCCCCAAGAUGUAGCCUUGUUACUGCAUACUCUGGAUGGAAAGGACACUGGGUCCUCACAAGAGAUCAGUUUUAUUGAUUCCAUACGUCUUUAUUGAAAAAUAAAUGAAUAAGUGUUGAGAAUCUCCUCCGAGACAGUGUGAUAUGAUGAGUCCUAUGCCAGAGAGAGAGGUCAGGAGUCUGGGCAUGACUUAGCUAGAUUCUCUAAGGGAUGCACAGGCUGCAAUCAAGGUGUCAGCCAGGAAUGAAGUCAUAUCACAGAAAAUCCUACAGCAAACUUAACUGGCCCAAUACAGUUGAUAUGCCUGUCCUUGAACCAAAACUACAGUGAUUGAUUGCACAGUCCUGAGUCACAAGCUCACUCAUGCCUUGGGGACAGGUCAAUCCCACUCAAGCUAUAUGGACUGAGACAGAAGAGGGUUUUGCCAUAAAGAACAAGUAAGAUAUUCUAUGG